UACAGAGGUCCCAAGCGUUUGUUCGGAUUCACUGGGCGUAAAGGGUGCGUAGGUGGUUGUGCAAGUCUGAUGUGAAAUCUCCGGGCUUAACCCGGAAAUGGCAUUGGAAACUGCAUGGCUAGAGGGUUGGAGGGGGGACUGGAAUACUUGGUGUAGCAGUGAAAUGCGUAGAUAUCAAGUGGAACACCAGUGGCGAAGGCGAGUCCCUGGACAACACCUGACACUGAGGCACGAAAGCUAGGGGAGCAAACAGG
rnacentral:rRNA from 1 species